rnacentral:rRNA from 1 species
UACGGAGGAUCCGAGCGUUGUCCGGAUUUAUUGGGUUUAAAGGGUGCGUAGGCGGUUUGAUAAGUUAGAGGUGAAAUGUCGGGGCUCAACCCCGAAACUGCCUCUAAUACUGUUGGACUAGAGAAUAGUUGCGGUAGGCGGAAUGUAUGGUGUAGCGGUGAAAUGCUUAGAGAUCAUACAGAACACCGAUUGCGAAGGCAGCUUACCAAACUAUAUCUGACGUUGAGGCUCGAAAGCGUGGGGAGCAAACAGG